UACGGAGGGGGCGAGCGUUUGUCCGAAUUUAUUGGGCGUAAAGCGCGUGUAGGCGGAUUUUCAAGCCUGAGGUGAAAGGUUGGGGCUCAACCCCAUACAGUGCCUUGGGGACUGAGAGUCUGGAGGCAGGCAGAGGAGUGGUGGAAUUCCUGGUGUAGCGGUGGAAUGCGUAGAGAUCAGGAAGAACACCCAUGGCGAAGGCAGCACUCUGGGCCUGUACUGACGUGAGAACGCGAAAAGCGUGGGGGAGCGAACGGGG
rnacentral:rRNA from 1 species